rnacentral:lncRNA from 1 species
CUAUAUGGACCUCAGGUAUUAGAAAGGCUGCUUGAAGCUUUGUGCCAAAGACCAUUGAAGCUUUCUGCAACACAAUGAACCCGUGCUUUCAGAGGGCCCAGUUUCACACUGUGUGACUGUACUACACCAGGAGCUAAGGACCACCAAACUCAUCAUAUACUGCUGCAAGUGUGAGGUCCUGGUCCCGCUCUUUUCGCCAGUCUGGAGCAACGUUUGGAGGAGCCCAGCAGCCUGGUCCUUUCCGUAGCUUCCAAGGAUUUUUAGGAUCGCAGGAUUUACAGACCCGCGAAAACCCCUGGAGGACGUUAGCUGUGGAUAAAAGCCUCUGGAAAUGCCUACCGUCUUCCUUACCUCUUGUUUCUUCUUGGGUGACCUGCACGUCGUUUGGGAAGGGAGCCUCUCCGUUCUUGGAGGAUUACGUCUAACCAGCCACUUGCCACCCUCACUGGAAUACAUCUGCUAAGUUUUCCCAGGAUGGAGAAAUUACUACAUGUGGCAGAAGGCUAUUUUUCCCUUCUCCCGGAACUCUCCCAGAGCGCAGCGGUGCUCUCGUCCAGCAGGUGACACCUGCUCGUAUUGUCGAGUCCCAGGAGUCCUCCGUAAGCUUAGUCUUUGUAAGUCUAGAAAUGAGUGAACCUCAAACCAUGCAGAGGUCUCGGUUGACUGCAGAAAGGAGAGAGGAAGAGCGUCUGGAAGGGAGCUCAGAUCCCGCCAGGGUUUCCCAGGAAAUGAGGCACGUCCACAGUUUGAAUGAUGAAGUCUGAUGAAYUCUGAUUUUGGCUUGGAUUACCACCUUUCGAAAGGUUUUCUAACUAUGGAAGCUCUCCUGAGGAGUUGCAUCAUGCGCUGCUGCCCCUAAAACAGUGUGCAUAUAUUUGGGAGUGAUGAAGAACUGCAAUGUACUGCUGCAUAUUGCUUUAGUGAUGAGAGAGGCUCUCUGGCAUGUCGUACAGCACCAAAACCCAUUCCGGUGUUGACAGCAGAAAUCCUUAUCAUUUUUGUAUUUUUUUCCAAGACAGCUGAUAUCUGCUGUGGAUUCUUUGUAUGYAAAUCAAGGUGGUACAACAACAACAAAAAAAGCCCUGAAAGCAGUCACCAAGAUAAACUUGGACCAAUGGGGACAUUCCUGGUUAUCGUUUUUUAACUUUUGGGGUUUUUUUAGCUCUACGCAAGAUACUUCUUUCCCCGCUCUUUCUUACAGUAGUUAAUGUUUGUCCUGGCAGACCUUUUAUUUAUCAAUUACAGUGUUUCUUGCAUUUUAUAUGGCUGCAUAUCAAUAUACAUGAAUAAAAGACAGAAAGUGCUGGAAAUUGUCA